rnacentral:rRNA from 1 species
AAGCCGCGUGAGGGAGGAAGGUACAGAGUAUCGUAAACCUCUUUUGUCAGGGAACAAAGACUGGGACGCGUCCCCGGAUGAGUGUACCUGAAGAAAAAGCAUCGGCUAACUCCGUGCCAGCAGCCGCGGUAAUACGGAGGAUGCGAGCGUUAUCCGGAUUUAUUGGGUUUAAAGGGUGCGCAGGCGGUCUGUUAAGUCAGCGGUCAAAGCCCGGGGCUCAACCCCGGCCCGCCGUUGAAACUGGCAGUCUCGAGUUGGAGAGAAGUAUGCGGAAUGCGCGGUGUAGCGGUGAAAUGCAUAGAUAUCGCGCAGAACUCCGAUUGCGAAGGCAGCAUGCCGGCUCCACACUGACGCUGAGGCACGAAAGCGUGGGUAUCGAACAGGAUUAGAUACCCUGGU